GGCUACACACGUGCUACAAUGGGUAGUACAGAGAGUCGCAAAGCCGCGAGGUGAAGCUAAUCUCAGAAAACUAUUCUUAGUUCGGAUUGUACUCUGCAACUCGAGUACAUGAAGUUGGAAUCGCUAGUAAUCGCGAAUCAGCAAUGUCGCGGUGAAUACGUUCUCGGGUCUUGUACACACCGCCCGUCACACCACGAGAGUUGGUUGCACCUGAAGUAGCAGGCCUAACCGUAAGGAGGGAUGCUCCGAGGGUGUGAUUAGCGAUUGGGGUGAAGUCGUAACAAGGUAUCCGUACGGGAACGU
rnacentral:rRNA from 1 species